AAACUCGCCUGCAUGAAGCUGGAAUUGCUAGUAAUCAUAGGUCAGCAUACUAUGGUGAAUACGUUCCCGGGCCUUGUACACACCGCCCGUCACACCAUGAGAGUUGAGAAUACCCGAAGUCCAUGUCAAAGUGGCCGAAGGUAGGCUUGAUGAUUGGGGUGAAGUCGUAACAAGGUAUC
rnacentral:rRNA from 1 species